rnacentral:rRNA from 1 species
GAUGAACGCUAGCGAUAGGCUUAACACAUGCAAGUCGAGGGGCAGCACAAGGUAGCUUGCUAUCUGGGUGGCGACCGGCGCACGGGUGCGUAACGCGUAUGCAACUUGCCCUAUACAGGAGGAUAACCCGUCGAAAGACGGACUAAUACUGCGUAUGCUCACAACUUGGCAUCAAGUGGUGAGGAAAGAAAUUCGGUAUAGGAUAGGCAUGCGUCCCAUUAGCUUGUUGGUGAGGUAACGGCUCACCAAGGCAACGAUGGGUAGGGGAACUGAGAGGUUUAUCCCCCACACUGGUACUGAGACACGGACCAGACUCCUACGGGAGGCAGCAGUGAGGAAUAUUGGUCAAUGGGCGAGAGCCUGAACCAGCCAAGUCGCGUGAAGGAUGACUGUCUUAUGGAUUGUAAACUUCUUUUAUACGGGAAUAACAAGAGUCACGUGUGACUCCCUGCAUGUACCGUAUGAAUAAGCAUCGGCUAACUCCGUG